CGCCAGUUCGCCCACCAGUUACCUCCAUGCGAACGAAAAUCGGAAGCGGAUGGAAGCGGCACUGGAAUGGCGUCGGGAGCAAGGGCUUGGUCGCCAGAACGCCAACUUCCUGGUGCCUCCCCUCCGGCAGUACGAGCAACUGGAGUUGGACGACAAAACCGUGGUGCAGCAACUGCGUCGCCACAUCAUAGAUAAUCAUCUGCUGAGGGUAUACGGCUUUCCCGUGGAUUCGGUGGUCCACGAAGGCGCCAUCGAAAUCUUCAAGUGCAUGCCGCACAUGAGUUUCGCAGCCGCGCUGGCGGAAACUGCUCAGGCCGUUACAGUGAUCAACUACCACGACGGACUGACCAACCGCGCCGAGGAGGAGGUGGCCAACUCGACCGACUCGGGCAACAGUUCCCCGCAAUCCUUGGACUCCGAAUCAGGCGGCGAGUGGAGCGGCAGCGAAUGCGAGUCCUCGAACUCAUCGUCCUCCUCCGCCGGCGAUGCCGCGCUGGGUCUCGAGCUAAAGUACUGCCAUUUUGUGCCGGUGGAGAGGAGUCUGUCCAAGCCUUGUGCGCGCUGCAAGCGCCACUUUCUAGUGGACGAGCUGACGGGUCAGUACUUGACCCAUGAGGAGUGCCAAUACCACUCAGGAAAGUACCAGCGGUACUACGAUGGCGUCAGGCACGGACGCUGGACGUGCUGCAACGAGGGCGAGGAAUCCUCGCCGGGAUGCUGCCUGGGCGACCGACAUGUGUGGUCGGGAUCGGUUGUGGGGGUCAACGGGCCCUACUACGACUUCGUUAGGACCGAGCACCGAAGAUCCAGCGGGGACCAGCCCGCCGUAUACGCCCUCGACUGCGAGAUGAGCUACACGGGUCGAGGUCUGGACGUGACCAAGGUCUCCCUGGUGGCACUCAACGGGCAAUUGGUGUAUGAGCAUUUCGUUCGGCCCGUGUGCGACAUAAUAGACUACAACACCCAGUAUUCGGGCAUUACGGAAACGGAUCUGUGUUCCGGAGCAAAGAGUCUGGCCGAGGUGCAGAGGGAUCUCCUUAAGCUGAUCACGGCGGACACCAUCCUUAUCGGACACGGACUGGAAAACGAUCUGCGAGCGCUGCGCUUGGUGCACAACACCCUGAUCGACACCUCCAUUAGCUUCCCGCACUGCAAUGGGUUCCCCUACCGCCGAGCCCUGCGUCACCUCACGAAGGUUCACCUGAAGCGUGACAUCCAAACGGGCGACGGCACAACGGGACACAGCAGCUUCGAGGACUCGCGCGCCUGCAUGGAGCUGAUGCUGUGGCGGGUCAACCGUGAGCUGGAUCCCGCUUGGAGCUGGGACGAUUAGAGGACUCGAUCGGGGGCGAAUCGGCGUUAUUUGGGGUGGGGUGGAAGGUUGGGGGGUGGGCAGCAAGUACUUUUAGUUGUUAAGCCAGCUCGUACUAGUACUGUAUUCAAAAAACACAAUCGUAAAAUCUCAGCUGGGUAUCUCUCCUGGCAAUCGGUGUCUAUAGCACAGACUAACCGACUUAUCUCGGUUAUACGUAUAGGUGCCCAUUGCCAGGGGUUGGCUCAGCAUAUACAUAUACAUAUACAAUAUAUGAAGUAAAUCGCAAAAUUGAAAUGACAAAAAUGGCAAAAGAAAGCAGCGAAGGAUGAGGAGGACAAGCACAUAACUAUAUGCGGUACAUAAGGAACAUUUUAAACUGUCGACGUUUUUAACUAUGAUUCCUCGACUCUGGUGUCUUAUGAAACGAGCCGAGGAGCACUUUAAUUGAAAAUCGAUGUUCCUAGCAGAAUAAGUUUCAGCGCAAAUACACUGCGCCAAGCAGAUGUCUUUAUAUUGAACGGAAAGAAAGCGAAGAGUAAUGCAAAUGCACAACGAAGAUUUCAUGAGAAUAAAAUCAAACAAGAUUUGUCUAAAACUAAAUA
rnacentral:misc_RNA from 1 species